CAGGUAGAGAAUACCAAGGCGAUCGAGCGAACUAUGGUUAAGGAACUCGGCAAAAUACCUCCGUAACUUCGGGAGAAGGAGGGCCUCAGAUCGUGUAGCCGCUUGCCGGCGAAGCGGUAGGGGGUCGCAGAGACCAGCGAGAAGCGACUGUUUACUAAAAACACAGCUCCAUGCGAAGUCGCAAGACGAUGUAUAUGGAGUGACGCCUGCCCGGUGCUGGAACGUUAAGGGGA
rnacentral:rRNA from 1 species